UCCUACCUGCUCACUGAGUGUAUGACCA
rnacentral:piRNA from 1 species